UUGGUGGGCUUCUAGUCCAUCUCUGCCACAGCUCUGCAAUGAAUUUAAAUUGAACUUAUUGCAUGCAUUGCUUAAUGUCCUUUGUUGUUAAACUAUUUCCUAAAUGGUACAACCUGAAUAUCUUAGUGUGACAAAUUUACUCAUGAAAGGUCCCUCUAUCAUCAGGUUGGAGGAAGUCUUGACAAGGAAGUUGGCAAGACUGGAACUCUCAGAGAUGACCACAGGAUGGAGAAUGUCGGGGGUAGUACAGCGUGGUGCAAGAAGCUCCAGCUCUGGGGCCAGUUGGACAGGGUUUGAUUCCAACUCUGGCACCUGUCAGUGGAGCAGCCUCAGAACAACAUGGCUGUCCAAGCACCAGACUUCAUGGGAAAGGAGAGGAGAGCUCAGGGAGCUUCCUUUCUGACUAUUCCGUGAAGGAUUUUAUUCUCUGGAAAAAAUAUUCUUCUCUAAACAUCCUCAGGGUGCUGCUCAUCAAUGGAAUACUCAGAUGACCACUGCUGAGCACCUGGAGGAGCAAAGAAGAUAAUCCCCUGGCUUCUGAGAGCUCACAUAUCAGCCAACAGAUUAAAUAUGAGAAUUGUAUUACCUGAAUGAGGAAAGAAGGCAGAGAGCUCAGUCAAGCCUGCUUGGACUUCUGACCUACACAGAAAGGAGAUGAUGAAUGAGUAUUGCUUAAAGUCGCUGAGUUUGGAAUGAAGUUACACCAUCAGCCUGAAACUUUCUGUAGUCUGAGGAGUCUGGUGCAGGGCAGCUGUCCUUUCUCUGGAGCUGGUCGUUAUGUCUUCAAAAUCCUCCCUCUUCUGAGAUCUUGCAAAGCGUAACUCCUUCUCCCUUGUGAUCCUACUUCUUCCAGAAGAAUGAACAAGCACCACUUUGAACUUCUGCCCUGGUACUUUCGGUGCAUUUGAAUCCAUUCCAUGCAGAGAAAAUGGCCUUUGGCAUCACUAAGUUUCCCCUACUCAUCAGCUAACUGGUAUGGUAUGAGUCCUCCUGCAAGGUAGUCUAGCGUGCACUUGACCUAGC
rnacentral:lncRNA from 1 species